CUCCAGAAAAAAAUGGCAAACAUCACUGUGGGAGCCACUGGAAAGGCAACAACAGUAACUCAGUUUUUGUAUUGCUUACAAGUUUCCCUUGUAGAAACUGGAUGUGAACAACUUCUUCACUUCUUGCAAGUCCACGCUGUGGAUAUUUUUUUAAUAGUUGAGCACUUCCAGUACUUUGCCCAAGUAUACAAGUUUCUAUGUGUAGAAAUAAAAACAUCUUUUGAAAUAUAUCAGUAGUAAGAGACUGUUCCAGCACUUCUAUCUUGACCCAUGCAUAGUGCAUGCUGUAGGAUUCCCC
rnacentral:lncRNA from 1 species